rnacentral:rRNA from 1 species
UACGAAGGUCCCAAGCGUUAUCCGGAUUUAUUGGGUUUAAAGGGUGCGUAGGAGGGCAGGUAAGUCAGUGGUGAAAUCUCCAAGCUUAACUUGGAAACUGCCGUUGAUACUAUCUGUCUUGAAUACCGUGGAGGUGAGCGGAAUAUGUCAUGUAGCGGUGAAAUGCUUAGAUAUGACAUAGAACACCAAUUGCGAAGGCAGCUCGCUACACGAAUAUUGACUCUGAGGCACGAAAGCGUGGGGAUCAAACAGG